rnacentral:sRNA from 1 species
GCAAUAGUGGCUUAUGUGGGCGGUCGGCGUCAUUCCUUCAAUAGAAAGGGGGUGACGCCAAUGGAGACGUUUCAGGCUCUUCAAUUAAUGUUCCUGUUCGGAAUGUUUAUUCUAGCGCUUCUAACGUUUAUCCAGAAAUGAAAUAGAUCGCCCACCACGGAAAGGUUAGUGCGAUCCAUUUCGUAUAAACCUGAUAAGCCGACCGCCUAUUGUGCGGCUAUUGCCGACCGUAGACGUUGGAGCGUCUGCG